rnacentral:rRNA from 1 species
UAGGGAAUCUUCGGCAAUGGACGAAAGUCUGACCGAGCAACGCCGCGUGAGUGAAGAAGGUUUUCGGAUCGUAAAACUCUGUUGUUAGAGAAGAACAAGGACGUUAGUAACUGAACGUCCCCUGACGGUAUCUAACCAGAAAGCCACGGCUAACUACGUGCCAGCAGCCGCGGUAAUACGUAGGUGGCAAGCGUUGUCCGGAUUUAUUGGGCGUAAAGCGAGCGCAGGCGGUUUCUUAAGUCUGAUGUGAAAGCCCCCGGCUCAACCGGGGAGGGUCAUUGGAAGCUGGGAGACUUGAGUGCAGAAGAGGAGAGUGGAAUUCCAUGUGUAGCGGUGAAAUGCAUAGAUAUAUGGAGGAACACCAGUGGCGAAGGCGGCUCUCUGGUCUGUAACUGACGCUGAGGCUCGAAAGCGUGGGGAGCAAACAGG